UGCUGAAAAAGUCACUCCUAGGAAUGGAACUUUAUUUUCAGUUUUCACAGUGGCCUGCUGAAAAAGUCACUCCUAGGAAUGGAACUUUAUUUUCAGUUUUCACAGUGGCCUGCUGAAAAAGUCACUCCUAGGAAUGGAACUUUAUUUUCAGUUUUCACAGUGGCCUGCUGAAAAAGUCACUCCUAGGAAUGGAACUUUAUUUUCACAUACACUCAGCGUGUAAUAUUGUAGCUUUUCAAGUAUCUCUAAUCGGAGACUAUCAAACGAAGCUCAUCCAUCUUAUUCUCGAGUGACUGGACAUUUUCCAAAAGCACGAAGGGGGGGGAGUGUGCCGUUCGGUUUUCUCUUCGCAUCAAUUUCACCAGGACUCCACCUCGUCGUCUCCCGCGUCUCUACGCCUGCAGCGUUUUGGUAGCCUAUGGAACAAAGGGUCCGGUAGGAACUGUGGAAUAGCUGAGUCGGAGUUGAAGUCAUAUUUCUGUACUUUUCUCAAAAAGCUGAGAUAUUUUAAUGUAGACUGAACUAUACUGACACUGUUUUAUAAAUCUUUCAUUGAGAGUAUUUUAACUUUUUGUAUUGUUUUGUUGGUUUGGCAAUGCCACCGUCAGCCAGAGAAAUAUGCUGAGAGGGAUUAUCACCACAGCAAGCAAGGUACUUGGAGUCAAACAGACAGGCCUGGAUGAGAUCUUUAAGGUCAGGGCCUUCAGCAAGGUACUUGGAGUCAAACAGACAGGCCUGGAUGAGAUCUUUAAGGUCAGGGCCUUCAGCAAGGUACUGGGAGUCAAACAGACAGGCCUGGAUGAGGUCUUUAAGGUCAGGGCCUUCAGCAAGGUACUGGGAGUCAAACAGACAGACCUGGAUGAGGUCUUUAAGGUCAGGGCCCUCCGUAAGGUUCACAAAAUCAUUUUAGACCCAAGCCACCCCCUGUACCCGGACUUUGAACUAUUCCCCUCUGGGUGCAGGUAUAGGGCACCCCUCAGCAGGAAAAACACAACUAGACAAUAAUUUGUGCCAGGUGUGAUAUCCCUCCUAAAUAGCUCGGGCUAAUGUUCCUAUCCACCCAGUAAGGCUAACAGGCUAAUGUUCCUAUCCACCCAGUAAGGCUAACAGGCUAAUGUUCCUAUCCACCCAGUAAGGCUAACAGGCUAAUGUUCCUAUCCACCCAGUAAGGCUAACAGGCUAAUGUUCCUAUCCACCCAGUAAGGCCAGCAGGCUAAUGUUCCUAUCCACCCAGUAAGGCUAACAGGCUAAUGUUCCUAUCCACCCAGUAAGGCUAACAGGCUAAUGUUCCUAUCCACCCAGUAAGGCUAACAGGCUAAUGUUCCUAUAGACUCAGUAAGGCCAGCAGGCUAAUGUUCCUAUCCACCCAGUAAGGCCAGCAGGCUAAUGUUCCUAUAGACUCAGUAAGGCCAGCAGGCUAAUGUUCCUAUCCACCCAGUAAGGCCAGCAGGCUAAUGUUCCUAUCCACCCAGUAAGGCCAGCAGGCUAAUGUUCCUAUCCACCCAGUAAGACCAGCAGGCUAAUGUUCCUAACCACUCAGUAAGGACAGCAGGCUAAUGUUCCUAUCCACUCAGUAAGGCUAGCAGGCUAAUGUUCCUAUCCACUCAGUAAGGCUAACAGGCUAAUGUUCCUAUCCACCCAGUAAGGCCAGCAGGCUAAUGUUCCUAUCCACCCAGUAAGGCCAGCAGGCUAAUGUUCCUAUCCACCCAGUAAGGCUAACAGGCUAAUGUUCCUAUCCACCCAGUAAGGCUAACAGGCUAAUGUUCCUAUCCACCCAGUAAGGCCAGCAGGCUAAUGUUCCUAUCCACCCAGUAAGGCCAGCAGGCUAAUGUUCCUAUCCACCCAGUAAGGCUAACAGGCUAAUGUUCCUAUCCACCCAGUAAGGCCAGCAGGCUAAUGUUCCUAUAGACUCAGUAAGGCCAGCAGGCUAAUGUUCCUAUCCACCCAGUAAGGCCAGCAGGCUAAUGUUCCUAUCCACCCAGUAAGGCCAGCAGGCUAAUGUUCCUAUCCACCCAGUAAGGCCAGCAGGCUAAUGUUCCUAUAGACUCAGUAAGGCCAGCAGGCUAAUGUUCCUAUCCACCCAGUAAGGCCAGCAGGCUAAUGUUCCUAUAGACUCAGUAAGGCCAGCAGGCUAAUGUUCCUAUCCACCCAGUAAGGCCAGCAGGCUAAUGUUCCUAUCCACCCAGUAAGGCCAGCAGGCUAAUGUUCCUAUCCACCCAGUAAGGCCAGCAGGCUAAUGUUCCUAUCCACCCAGUAAGGCCAGCAGGCUAUUUUUUUAUUGUUAUGUAACUGUUAUGAAAGUUGUAUUGUCAAUUUUGUUUUUGUAUUUAAACGCCACUUUAAAUGUGUACAUGACACUGCAACAAAAUUUCCCCAUGGGGACAAUAAAGUCAGAAAGUACGUUUUUGAAGUCAAAAUGGAGGUUAAUAACUGUUUAUCUGAUGUCCAGAAGUGAUUGGUGGUCAUAUGUGAUAAUAGUAGGAUCUUUCUGUACAAAAAAAUAAAUAAAAAAUAUCGCAAAGUUGGGUUGGAACUCGUAAGAUGUCGCUCUUUUCCGUUGGUGCCAUCUUGGAGAGGAGAGGAGAGGAGAGGAGAGGAGACUACAGUAGAGUAGAGUAGAGUAGAGUAGAGUAGAGGAGAGGAGAGGAGAGGAGAGGAGAGGAGAGGAGAGGAGAGGAGAGGAGAGGAGAGGAGAGGAGAGGAGAGGAGAGGAGAGGAGAGGAGAGGAGAGGAGACUACAGUAGAGUAGAGUAGAGUAGAGUAGAGUAGAGAGUAGAGUAGAGUAGAGUAGAGUAGAGUAGAGUAGAGUAGAGUAGAGGAGAGGAGAGGAGAGGAGAGGAGAGGAGAGGAGAGGAGAGGAGAGUAGAGUAGAGUAGAGUAGAGUAGAGGAGAGGAGAGGAGAGGAGAGGAGAGGAGAGGAGAGGAGAGGAGAGGAGACUACAGUAGAGUAGAGUAGAGUAGAGUAGAGUAGAGUAGAGUAGAGGAGAGGAGAGGAGAGGAGAGGAGAGGAGAGGAGAGGAGAGGAGAGUCUGUGUGUGUGUGUGUGUGUGUGUGUGUGUGUGUGUGUGUGUGUGUGUGUGUGUGUGUGUGUGUGUGUGUGUGUGUGUGUGUGAAUCUUGUCAGGCAACAAGGUAGACCACACACCAGUCCGCUGGCCCUCCUAAG
rnacentral:lncRNA from 1 species